AUCCACGUCUGAUUUUCUGUGGGAAGAGCCACCUGAGCUCCUGGCUGGCCCCGCCCCGUUCUGACCACGCCCAGCCACGCCCCCAACCGCCCUCCCGGCCAUGGUCCCGCCCCCUACCAGGCUCCGCCUCCACAAGGUCCGGCCUUGACCCUUCACCUUGACCCAUCGCGGCAGCCUCAGCCCAGACCACGCCUACCUGGCUCCACCCUUCUCCAUGACCACGCCCCCGCCACGACUCCGCCAGGCCUGACCCUGCCCUAAUGGAGCCAGGUCCUUGGUCCGUUCCUGAACCUCUCUGCCCAGAGCGGGCCUGGCGUCCAGUGACCUCUCACCAUCAAAGAGAGUGAAGAAAGCCUCUCUCUCGUCCCUGAUGUCCAGACGGGCAGAAUGGCUCCUCCCAGCUGGGCUGAAUGCUGCUACCUCUGUGGCCCAAAGCAUCCUGGGCUGGUCCACGCGAGCUCCUCAAGGGCGGAGGUUGUGUCCUUUCUGGAUCUGUACCCCAGGGGGACACAGGGCUUGGGCUGAGCGGCCACUCGGUGGUGUGUGGAGAAUGGAUGGAUGGGUGUCUGGAGAGGUAAAAAGACUGGCAGGAAGCGGCACCCCGGUAGAGGAUGGAAGGCAGGCCCUGGCGAACCUGGAGGAAAUGUUCAAGGGAACGAGAAGAUGUCAGUGUCCUGCCGCGCGUCUUCUCCCCAGACACACGUGUCAUCGUGGGUUGCUCGGGAGGUGCUGACAUCGUUUGAU